GUGAGGAAUAUUGGUCAAUGGGCGGAAGCCUGAACCAGCCAUCCCGCGUGAAGGAAGGCGGCCCUAUGGGUUGUAAACUUCUUUAGUACAUGAAGAACAGGAUCUACGCGUAGGUUUAUGACGGUAAUGUACAAAAAAGCAUCGGCUAACUCCGUGCCAGCAGCCGCGGUAAUACGGAGGAUGCGAGCGUUAUCCGGAUUCAUUGGGUUUAAAGGGUACGUAGGUGGCCCUGUAAGUCAGUGGUGAAAAUCUGCCGCUUAACGGUAGGGGUGCCAAUGAUACUGCGGGGCUUGAGUACAGUUGAGGUAGGUGGAAUGUGUAGUGUAGCGGUGAAAUGCAUAGAUAUUACACAGAACUCCGAUUGCGAAGGCAUCUUACUAAGCUGAAACUGACACUGAUGUACGAAAGCGUGGGGAUCGAACAGGAUUAGAUACCCCAGUAGUCC
rnacentral:rRNA from 1 species